GGGGAUGCCAUGGUUUCGACGUGGUCGAAUAAUCAUUGGUAGCAGGUCGUUUGCUGAUCGUAAAUCAGUGUUUAAAUAUAAACGCAAACAACAAUAGCGAAGCAAACUUCGCACUAGCUGCCUAAGAAACUGGUAGCAAUGAAUUGUAGGUUAGUCGCAAACUUACAAUUUGUUUCAUAAUUUUAGCGACAACUCUUCUAGCAAAGCUUUGAACUAGUUGCAGUAUGAUGAAGCUAGCAUAUAACUUAUUUGUAAGUUUAUAAAGUUUUAUGCGAAAACUUUAAACUUAAUAAACCUGUAGAAGCCUCUGAGGACACUUCCACGGACAUGGGUUCGACUCCCAUCAUCUCCACCA
rnacentral:tmRNA from 1 species